GAAGAGUUUGAUCAUGGCUCAGAUUGAACGCUGGCGGCAGGCCUAACACAUGCAAGUCGAACGGUAACAGGAAGCAGCUUGCUGCUUUGCUGACGAGUGGCGGACGGGUGAGUAAUGUCUGGGAAACUGCCUGAUGGAGGGGGAUAACUACUGGAAACGGUGGCUAAUACCGCAUAACGUCGCAAGACCAAAGAGGGGGACCUUCGGGCCUCUUGCCAUCAGAUGUGCCCAGAUGGGAUUAGCUUGUUGGUGAGGUAACGGCUCACCAAGGCGACGAUCCCUAGCUGGUCUGAGAGGAUGACCAGCCACACUGGAACUGAGACACGGUCCAGACUCCUACGGGAGGCAGCAGUGGGGAAUAUUGCACAAUGGGCGCAAGCCUGAUGCAGCCAUGCCGCGUGUAUGAAGAAGGCCUUCGGGUUGUAAAGUACUUUCAGCGGGGAGGAAGGUGUUGUGGUUAAUAACCGCAGCAAUUGACGUUACCCGCAGAAGAAGCACCGGCUAACUCCGUGCCAGCAGCCGCGGUAAUACGGAGGGUGCAAGCGUUAAUCGGAAUUACUGGGCGUAAAGCGCACGCAGGCGGUCUGUCAAGUCGGAUGUGAAAUCCCCGGGCUCAACCUGGGAACUGCAUUCGAAACUGGCAGGCUUGAGUCUUGUAGAGGGGGGUAGAAUUCCAGGUGUAGCGGUGAAAUGCGUAGAGAUCUGGAGGAAUACCGGUGGCGAAGGCGGCCCCCUGGACAAAGACUGACGCUCAGGUGCGAAAGCGUGGGGAGCAAACAGGAUUAGAUACCCUGGUAGUCCACGCCGUAAACGAUGUCUACUUGGAGGUUGUGCCCUUGAGGCGUGGCUUCCGGAGCUAACGCGUUAAGUAGACCGCCUGGGGAGUACGGCCGCAAGGUUAAAACUCAAAUGAAUUGACGGGGGCCCGCACAAGCGGUGGAGCAUGUGGUUUAAUUCGAUGCAACGCGAAGAACCUUACCUGGUCUUGACAUCCACAGAACAUUCCAGAGAUGGAUUGGUGCCUUCGGGAAC
rnacentral:rRNA from 1 species